CUACUUUUGCGAACUAGUCCUAGGAUUUUCAACCAAUCAGAACCAAACCACUUCAUAAAUAUUCCCUGGACACUCAAUAUCAAUAAUUAUUAAAAAAAAGUUGAAAUUUCAAUUCUUACGCGAAACAGUACGCCAAAAAGCGUCUAUGCUAACGUUAGCCAAAUACUAUUUUGACUAUAACUCUUGAACGGAAUGAGAUAUCUUCACCAAACUCGGUACACAUAUGUAUGAGCUCAAUCUUUGGUCAAAUCAAAAAAAUUGCGCAUCUCUGCCACUUGGGGGCGCUAUAAGAUAGAAAAAACACAUAAAUUGCUAUAACUAGGCAACCGUUGGCUCGAUCAACUUGAAAAUCGGUAUGCAGUGUCUUGGUCUGAAGGGGCACAAGUACUUAUGAGGACAUUUGCAUAUCUCAAAAAACAUGGCCGUCAUUGGCCAAACAAAUUUAAGCACCUAUUUGAAAGGGUUAACGGAUGUUGAUCGGAACGAAACUCGCUGGGUACGUUCGACUCAUGAACCUUAAGGUCUGUAAGAAUUUUGAAAGAAAUCGGCCACUAGUUGGCGCUAACGAGUUUUAUGGCUCUGUAAUCACGUGGUGUUUCACAUAUCAACACAAUAUGCAUAUCAUUUGAUAGAUCUCCUCGUAAUGCACAACUUUGCCUCAAGAACCAUUGCUGUCAAUCAAAUCGUUCAAUUGUUAUUCACAAAUAUGUUAAAAACCUACUUUUGCGAACUAGUCCUAGGUUUUUUGCCCGAUCGGAACCAAACCACUGCAGUAAUAUUCUGUGGACUCUCUAGAUCAAUAAUUAUUAAAAAAAUGUUGAAUUUUGUCCUUUGGUUAGCUGUAACCGGGUAAUUUAGAAAAAGGGGUGUGGCCAAACAUACCCCAAAGCCUAUAAAACCUAAAGGAAAACUCAAAACUGUAUGAAACUCAGUGAAAUCAUGUAUCAGGUGACUCUUAACAAGCAUGCAAAGUUUCAUGGAGAUCAGACCAUAGGUGGCGCUAUAACAGUAGAAAAGGUCUCAAAACACAAGAUUUAUAUGGUAAAUGGCCCCAAAUUGUUUGAAAAUGCUCAUAUAUUCACUCAAAAACACUAAAUCUUCAUAUCAUAUGAUAGAUCUCCUCAUUCUGAACAACUUUGCCUCUGGGACCAAUGUUGUCAAUAAAGCUGUUAAUUAAAUAUUCAAGAUUAUUUUAAAAAGUUACUUUGGCAUACUUGUGAUACGGUUUAAGAUGAAAAUCAAUAAAACCACUGAAGUACAAUUCUGUAGACUCUGAAGGUCAAUAAUUAUCAAAAACAUGUUGAACAACUGCAUUUGGACAACUAUAAACCAGUAAUUUUAUAAUAUGUUCUUUUCAUAGUGUACACAAAGGCCUAUUAAUACAAACAGAAAGCCCACAAAUUAUCAAAACUGUGUAAAACAAUGCAUAAUUUCAUUCUAAACAAGCAUGCAAAAUUUAAGAGAGAUUGGGCAAAAAAAAAAAAAAACACUAUAACAGUUAUGUUUAAAAACAGUGUUGCUUGAGUAAAUGCAAUUUAUAACCUCUAGAUGGCAGUGGAAGACCACUAAU